rnacentral:rRNA from 1 species
UACGUAGGGUGCAAGCGUUAAUCGGAAUUACUGGGCGUAAAGCGUGCGCAGGCGGUGAUGUAAGACAGGUGUGAAAUCCCCCGGGCUUAACCUGGGAACUGCAUUUGUGACUGCAUCGCUGGAGUGCGGCAGAGGGGGGAUGGAAUUCCGCGUGUAGCAGUGAAAUGCGUAGAUAUGCGGAGGAACACCGAUGGCGAAGGCAAUCCCCUGGGCCUGCACUGACGCUCAUGCACGAAAGCGUGGGGAGCAAAC